UUUCAUAUUUUCCAUGAGGAUGCUCAAUUGGAAGAUCAAUUGCUCCAAAUAAGUCAUAUGUACUCUUCAGGAAAUCCCUUAACUCCAGUUAUCUUAGUCCCUUAACCAUUCUUUUUCAUGGUAAAUAAUUAGCAUGUUCUGAUGCACUGCUAUAUUUUCUUCACAAGAUUUCCUCGCCAUUCUGUAUUCAUUGAUCAGAUUUAUGUGUCAGAUUUGACCAAGGGCAGACUAGCAAUCAAAUUCAUCCAGUCUGGAAAAAUCAUCUUCUGAUUGUAUGUUAUAAUCAUUUAAGCAGUAGAAUUUUUACGCUGUGCGAAGUGGAUUUGUUCCAUUGAUGCUCAUUAUGGAGGUUUGAAAUAGUAAGAUAUAAUAUAUCGUGCUACACACGAUAAAGGAAAUGAUGUCAUUUCGAUAUGGGACAUGAAGCCCAGAGAGAACCAUAUGUGGAGGUGGUUCUGUUGUGAGAUUAGGAGUGAAUUGCCUGUGUAAAUGGACCAUUUGUUUUGGCACAGGAAUGUAGGCAGAGCUGGACGUUGUAAUUGCUUUGCGAGAGUUUUGGUGUGAAGACUGCUCUGGAAAGAUGGAGAUUUCUCACUGGCACAUUACGACAUGAUUCAGCACUAAUUUAUACAGCAGAUAACUAGUUGAUCUCAUGACGUAGCGUUGAUAUGCAGGAGCUGGUAAUGCCUUUCUUAGUGAUAGAUUUUCAGUUUGUUGAAGCAGCUAAUUGUUUUCGUGGAAUGUAAGUUACUGAAGUAUGACAAGAAAGAUAUGCGAGGAUAGGGGUGAUGCUAUGUUAUGGAGCCAUGAGUUCAGUCCAAUGGUUUUGUGUAGAAUCAAGCUGCAUAUUUCACAUAUUCAACUGCUUUCAGGACAGUUAUGAG
rnacentral:lncRNA from 1 species